rnacentral:rRNA from 1 species
CAAGGCUUGACAUAUACGAGAACGGGCCAGAAAUGGUCAACUCUUUGGACACUCGUAAACAGGUGGUGCAUGGUUGUCGUCAGCUCGUGUCGUGAGAUGUUGGGUUAAGUCCCGCAACGAGCGCAACCCUCGUUCUAUGUUGCCAGCACGUAAUGGUGGGAACUCAUGGGAUACUGCCGGGGUCAACUCGGAGGAAGGUGGGGAUGACGUCAAAUCAUCAUGCCCCUUAUGUCUUGGGCUUCACGCAUGCUACAAUGGCCGGUACAAAGGGCUGCAAUACCGUGAGGUGGAGCGAAUCCCAAAAAGCCGGUCCCAGUUCGGAUUGAGGUCUGCAACUCGACCUCAUGAAGUCGGAGUCGCUAGUAAUCGCAGAUCAGCAACGCUGCGGUGAAUACGUUCCCGGGUCUUGUACACACCGCCCGUCAAGUCAUG